GACCACGGGCUUGAUGAACAUGAGAGGGCGGUCCUUGGCUUCCUUUUCGUCAUCGAAAUCGGUGGUGCUGAGGUUUAUACAGGAGCACCGCUCCAAUGAGGCAAAAAAUGCAGAGGCCAUGCUGGCGCCCACCCAGGUAGCCAUACGAUCUAGCUUGUCGCAUGAUAUGAAUCUGCAGCUGUUAGCCAUUGCCUAAUUUGAUCAAAUAGUUAUAGAAACAGAUAUGUAUAUAUAAUUAUUAGAGAAGAAUGUACUGAUAAGACUUUUCUUUCUUCGUAUUUGCCUUAGUGGUUCUUUUCCUUGGCGGUUAAGCGUCUGAAGAGAGAAAGAGCAGCGCACUGGGGGCCGGGCCAUUGUUUUCUAUCCAAUUUAUCUGCUACAUUUUUACUUAUCCAAUGGUUUUGGGCCCUAGGUAUUAUUUCUUUUCUUACAACCUGUAGUAGUUUACUGUUAUGUACUCACGGAGAAGGGCUACUUGGUUCUGGUUUUGACUUUUGACAAUCUAUUGCUCGCUUUAACUAUACAACUAAAACAGUGUCAAUAUGAGCAUUUUGGAUUUUUGGAUAUUUUCGAACCAUCCCAGUUGCAAAAAGAAUUAUAUGUGUGCAAUAAAAUGAAAAUCCCUGUCUGUCAGAUGCAGUUGUUUUCUAGAAUGAGAUAGAGCGGGGAGCUUUGGCUUGGCAAUCCUUUUGUCUUCUUCAAGAGAGAUGAUGGGGAGAUUGGCUGGGUUCUCAAUCAACAUCUUAGCG
rnacentral:lncRNA from 1 species